rnacentral:rRNA from 1 species
UACGGGAGGCAGCAGGGGGGAAUAUUGGACAAUGGGCGAAAGCCUGAUCCAGCCAUGCCGCAUGAGUGAAGAAGGCCUUCGGGUUGUAAAGCUCUUUUAGUGAGAAAGAUAAUGACGGUACUCACAGAAGAAGUCCUGGCUAACUCCGUGCCAGCAGCCGCGGUAAUACGGAGAGGGCUAGCGUUAUUCGGAAUUAUUGGGCGUAAAGAGCGCGUAGGCUGAUUAGUAAGUUAAAAGUGAAAUCCCAAAGCUUAACUUUGGAAUUGCUUUUUAAAACUGCUAGUCUAGAGAUUGAAAGAGGAUAGAGGAAUUCCUAGUGUAGAGGUGAAAUUCGUAAAUAUUAGGAGGAACACCAGUGGCGAAGGCGUCUAUCUGGUUCAAAUCUGACGCUGAGGCGCGAAGGGCGUGGGGAGCAAACGAGGGAUUAGAUACC